UACGUAGGGAGCAAGCGUUGUCCGGAAUUAUUGGGCGUAAAGAGCUCGUAGGCGGUCUGUUGCGUCGGCUGUGAAAACCCGGGGCUCAACCCCGGGCCUGCAUUCGAUACGGGCAGACUAGAGUUCGGUAGGGGAGUCUGGAAUUCCUGGUGUAGCGGUGAAAUGCGCAGAUAUCAGGAGGAACACCGAUGGCGAAGGCAGGUCUCUGGGCCACUACUGACGCUGAGAAGCGAAAGCAUGGGGAGCGAACAGG
rnacentral:rRNA from 1 species